UUGAUCGUCGUCCGGAUCUACAAUUUCGGGCCGAGCAGAUAACCUACUGGAACUAUUUCAGAACUGGGUCAAGAUUAUAGGCUACCCCACCUUUUUUAGACGAUCUGGACGUGUUCCAGUUGUCAGAUUUUGCAUAGGUGAGUCGGGACAACCUUCCUCCUCUUCCCAGCCGUUGCAGUGACCUCAGUUCAAGUUUGUGA